ensembl:lncRNA
AGCCUCCGCGAAGCUGCAUUCUCCUGCAGGCCGCAUUCCCGGACCACCGUGCACUUCUUGCGCCCCUGUUCCCGCCUCAAUCCAAGCGACCUUGCACAGCCGCCUCGCUGCUCUCCCGACAUCCUCCUGGCUGGCCCUCCCGGCUGCGUCAAGGCACAGCUGCUCUGAACUCCAACCUGCACUCGUGUGCUGCUUCGAACCCCAGCUCUGCCACGGCUCUGUUACUCAGGCCCAGCUGCCCCUGGAAGGUAACUGGAUCAAUCCCACCAGCUUCUCGCCUAUGACUGAGUCAGGCGGAGGUGCACCACCUGUCAGGGAACCUGCCCUGGAGGCCUGGCCCCGCCCUCCUCACGUGACAGGACUUGGCCCCACCCCCUCGUAGAGGGCUCACGCCUCCAGGAAUCUGCGAGCGAGCCCGUGCCGUGGGCCGGAGGGCAGCGCCUGACCUGGGGACGCCCAGGACCGCGGGCUUCUUCUUGGAGAGCAUGUCAGCACUGAAGAGGAACCUUCUGGGAGCGUGCGGGGUGCGUGGGUUCCCGGGCUGCUGCAGGCAGCGAGCAGCUUUCGUCUGUGGAGGAAUCUUCAAACCUGCCUGAUCUAGCCUGGCCUGGCUCACAGCUGUCAUCCAGGGAGCUCCCGGCCUCUCCUGAACUGCGUUCCUUGUCUUCCUCUUUCUUGGCUUACUCCCUCAUUUUGCUGUACCAUAUCCUCUAGUGGUUUUCUGAGAAAGGAUACAUACAAGCCCUGGGAAUCCGUCUACUCUCAGGAAGGAGGGAGUGUGGGCAAGUGUAUCAGUCGUCCAUUGCACAAUACUGGGGUGUAACAACAGCAAGUCCUCAGUAGCAAGCAGCAACCGUCUCUCAGCUCACAAACCUGCAGGGUCCUGCCAAGCUGGACCAGGCUCAAGCCUCAGUUCUUCUGGCCCCACUGGAGUCCGGCAGGCAUCAGCAGCAGCUGCUGGUCAUCUAGGCCGGUGCUCCUCAGCGGUUAGCACGCAUUGGAAUCACCAGUGGGUGUGCUCAGCCCCAGGUCCCUGGGCCUCACCACCCGAGAUUCAGUGGCACGGAAUCCACCUCUCCUGGCUCGUUCAGGUCGGCAGGUCAGCCGGCUCUGGGCUGACCCACAAAGAGUGGGGUGCCUCAGCUCUCUGCUUGUUUUCUCACACUCCAGCAGGCCAGCUCCAGCAUGUUCUCACGGCAGUUGCAGGGGCGCUGGCCAGGUUGCAGGAGCCCCUCUGAGACGUCUGUUGUGUUACACUGGCCCACAUCCUCUGAGCCCAGAGCCCAAGUGUGUCAUGUGGCCUGGGGUGAGGCUGUGAGAGAGGGAGGAAUUGAGGCCUUCAGAGCGAGCCGCCUGCCCUGGGAGACACUGAAGAAAAUGCACUCGGACGCGGCGCCUUCGCCCAGAGCUCCCUGUCUUCAUCUCCUUGGCGCAUUGCGUGUCUAUCUCUACCCGGGCUCCCUUCUGGCCUGUGUCUUCAACACCUGCUCACUAAGGACGUCGGUUUGGCCUCCCGAACAUAUCUGACGUCCACCCGCUUCUCUCCCUUCCCACUGCAUCCCACCUGGUUUUAAGGGCUGUCACCGCUUCCUUAAACUGUUGCCACAGCCCCUGGCUUUUCCUCUUUCCCCUGAGGCGAAGCUCUGCCAGUCUGAUCUGUACCCCGCAGCGGACGUGCGUGUUCUGCAGUGCGGCCCUGAGCGUGGCACGCUCUGCUGGCGGCGCUGGCCUCCUGGUGGAGGCUCUGCUGGGCGCCCACCGGGCAGCUGUGCCAGGAAGUGCAGGGCCUCCUUCUCGCACCCAAGGAGAGCCCCCGUUUCUGCCGUUUCCACUGUGUUCUGACUCUGGCAGGGGGGACUUUUGGAAUUCAUCUUUCUCUUCCUCCUGCCGCCCCAGGUCUCUCUGGAGCCCAGCCGUUAGUCCUCUCAGGUUCUUGUUUUCCAUGUGGGGGUGGGGGCUGGGGGCUUCUAAGGAUAGGAAAGAACAAUGUAAUGAGAUGUUGCCUCAAAGAAAUAUUACCCCCAAGCCCAUCCACCACUGAAAACUACAGUUCGUGCUGUUGGCCCUCCCCUGAUGCUCCUGGCCCCUCCCCAGGGUGGCCGCACACUCCCUUCCUGGACCCCUUCCUUCUCCUCCAGCCUCUGUCCGCUCCACAGAUAGGGAGCCAGGACAGCAAGCUGGCCACGUGUAACCCGGCUUGGGGAGGAGCAGAGCUCGUCCACAUCUACCAUGGGGGCAGCCGCCUCCCAGGAACGGGCUGUGCAGGAACACGUGCCCUGUGCCGCCCAGCCCUCCAAGGAAAUCCGAGCGGCCUCCUGCUGCUACGGGGGCAGGCUCAAGGUCUGCCUGCGGCUUGUGUGUCUGUACGGGAGACGGACCUCUCACUGACGCAGCCUGCUGUCUCAUGACAGUGGGGACCCCCUGUGUUGUCCACUCCUGGAUGGGGUGCCCAGCCCCUUGGACUCACAUGCUGGUGCCCUUUGGGGGUGAUCUCUGGGUGGGGUAUCCCCCUCCAGCUGCCUCAGCAGCUUCAGUCUGGCCUUGGGGCGUCUCCAGCUUUGAUCCCUGCGUGGGAGGCCAGCACUGGGCCACCAUGGCCUCCGGUGUAUUGCCUUACUCUGUGGGACCCCUGCCCCUGUACUCCUCCGGCCCUCCAGCUCUGAGCAGGGACGCCCCCGGCCACUGUACCCAGGUGGGAUGGCAGACUCCAGCC